AGUAAGAUGGCUGAGUUAUAUUAGGCAAUAAAUUGUAAAUUUAUUUACAGGUGAAUACCUUCUUAUUA
rnacentral:tRNA from 1 species